GAUGAAGAACGCAGCGAAAUGCGAUAAGUAAUGCGAAUUGCAGAAUUCAGUGAGUCAUCGAAUCUUUGAACGCACAUUGCGCCCUGUGGUAUUCCGCAGGGCAUGCCUGUUCGAGCGUCAUUUCAACCCUCAAGCCUCGCUUGGUGUUGGGCCCUGCCCGCCGCGGCCGGCCCUAAAGAUAGUGGCGGCGCCGCCUGGCCCUCAGCGUAGUACAGCUCUCGCUCCAGGGCCCGGCGGCAGCCUGCCAGAACCCCCCAACUCUGUGGUUGACCUCGGAUCAGGUAGGGAUACCCGCUGAACUUAAGCAUAUCAAUAAGCGGAGGA
rnacentral:misc_RNA from 1 species